rnacentral:rRNA from 1 species
UACGGGGGGGGCAAGCGUUGUUCGGAAUUACUGGGCGUAAAGAGCUCGUAGGUGGUUUGUCGCGUUGUUCGUGAAAACUCACAGCUCAACUGUGGGCGUGCGGGCGAUACGGGCAGACUAGAGUACUGCAGGGGAGACUGGAAUUCCUGGUGUAGCGGUGGAAUGCACAGAUAUCAGGAGGAACACCGGUGGCGAAGGCGGGUCUCUGGGCAGUAACUGACGCUGAGGAGCGAAAGCGUGGGGAGCGAACAGG